CCUACGGGAGGCAGCAGUGGGGAAUAUUGGACAAUGGGGGGAACCCUGAUCCAGCCAUGCCGCGUGUGUGAAGAAGGCCCUCGGGUUGUAAAGCACUUUCAGUGAGGAAGAACGCCUGGUGGUUAAUACCCAUCAGGAAAGACAUCACUCACAGAAGAAGCACCGGCUAACUCCGUGCCAGCAGCCGCGGUAAUACGGAGGGUGCGAGCGUUAAUCGGAAUUACUGGGCGUAAAGCGCGCGUAGGUGGCUUGAUAAGCCGGUUGUGAAAGCCCCGGGCUCAACCUGGGAACGGCAUCCGGAACUGUCAAGCUAGAGUGCAGGAGAGGAAGGUAGAAUUCCCGGUGUAGCGGUGAAAUGCGUAGAGAUCGGGAGGAAUACCAGUGGCGAAGGCGGCCUUCUGGACUGACACUGACACUGAGGUGCGAAAGCGUGGGUAGCGAACAGGAUUAGAUACCCUAGUAGUC
rnacentral:rRNA from 1 species